GAUGAAGAACGUAGCGAAAUGCGAUACCUGGUGUGAAUUGCAGAAUCCCGCGAACCAUCGAGUCUUUGAACGCAAGUUGCGCCCGAGGCCACCCGGCCGAGGGCACGCCUGCCUGGGCGUCACGCCAAAUCACGCUCCCACCCCCCCUCACCGGGGGAGCGGGACGCGGCGUCUGGCCCCCCGUGCCGCGAGGCGCGGUGGGCCGAAGAUCGGGCUGCCGGCGUACCGUGCCGGGCACAGCGCGUGGUGGAUCUCUACUCGGCGCAGUGCACCCGGCGCGUAGCCGGCGCAGCGGCCCCUAAGGACCCAACGAACGGAGCGCGAGCCGCUCCGACCGCGACCCCAGGUCAGGCGGGACUACCCGCUGAGUUUAAGCAUAUCAAUAAGCGGAGGA
rnacentral:misc_RNA from 1 species